rnacentral:lncRNA from 1 species
GUAUUCUGUUGCUAAUGCUCGCAUCUAUAGUUCCAGAUUUCUUUCCUAGGGUUUCCAUCUCCAAAGUUGCCUCACUUUGGGUUUUCUUUAUUGUGUCUACUUCCCUUUUUAGGUCUAGUAUGGUUUUGUUCAUUUCCAUCACCUGUUUGGAUGUGUUUUCCUGUUUUUCUUUAAGGACUUGUAACUCUUUAGCAGUGUUCUUCUUUAUUUCUUUAAGUGAGUUAUUAAAGUCCUUCUUGAUGUCCUCUACCAUCAUCAUGGGAUAUGCUUUUAAAUCCGGGUCUAGCUUUUCAGGUGUGUUGGGGUGCCCAGGACUGGAUCAGGUGGGAGUGCUGCGUUCUGAUGAUGGUGAGUGGUCUUGGUUUCUGUUAGUAAGAUUCUUAUGUUUGCCUUUCGCCAUCUGGUAAUCUCUGGAGUUAGUUGAUAUAGUUGUCUUUGGUUAGAGCUUGUUCCUCUCGUAAUUCUGUUAGCCUUUAUCAGCAGACCUGGGAGGCUAGCUCUCUCCUGAGUUUCAGUGGUCAGAGCACUCUCUGCAGGCCAGCUCUCCUCUUAAAGGGAAUGUGUACAGAUAUCUGGUGUUUGGACUUCCCUCCUAGCAGAACAUGAAGGCCGAAACAGGACCUGUCCCAGGACCUGUGUUGCUUCGGCCUGUCACAGAAGCUGUUAGCUUCUGUAGUCCACACUCUCACCUGCACAGACUAGUCUUGGAGGAAUCCGGGAACCAAGAUGGCUCCCCCAGGUCCUCUGGGAAAGCCCUCCCAGGCAGGUCAGACACCUCUCCUCUGGCCAGGAAAGUGCCCGGAUGUCUGGAGCCCGAAAGGAGUCUGCCUCAGAAGCUGUCUUCUAGAGACCUUGGGGGUGUCUGCCAACUCUGUGCCCAAGGUGACCAGGUGCUGGCGCAGACCGAAGGUACUUGUCACCCAGGUGAGGCCAGGUUUUCUGCUUCCCUAAUGCUGUCUUAGGUCCCGCGAGAUUGGAUUGGAACAGAAGUUGUGUCUACUCACCAGAGGUCCUGAGAUCUUGUGGAGAGUCCUCUAGGGAUCUUGGGCAUGUCAGCCGACUCCGCGCCCAAGGUGAUCUGGUGCUGGCACUGACCAGAAGGGAUUUGUGACCCUGGUCAGGCCGGGGUUUUCUGCUUCCCUAAUGCUGUCACAGGUCCCACGUGAUUGGAUUGGAACAGAAUUCCAAUUAAAGUUUUAACAUCCCAUUAUGACGCUGUUGUAGUGCUAAUAGAGAAUUGUAAGAUAAAAUCAUGAAGGUAUUUUAGAAAAACAAAACAAAACAAUGUGUCUUAGAAACCCUACAAGGUAUCUGUUCCUUGUUCUGAACAGUAAUUAAAUUGGUUUUUGCAGAAUAUUGAUAUUUGUACUAUUGCAUAUCAAACUCUUUAGGUAAAAUUGACAAUCAUUAUCCAAAAGAUAAGUUGUUAAAGAUUGCUUCUAUGCAUGUUUUUGGAUUUUCUGUAAAUUAAUGCAUUCAUGCAUCCCAUAAAAAAUACAUCUAUUGUAUUCAAAAAGUAGCCCUUCUAUGGGAGAGAAGUAUAUGUGAUUGGAUCACAUGUUUAUUCCUUUGAGUUUCCUCCGGCUUCAGCACAGAUGAUUAAAGUGUGUGCUGCAGCCAUGUUUUGAAAUGUUAAAAAAUCAAGCUUUAAUUUGUAUACUAAUAGUCAAUAUAUAUAUAGCUCAGGGUUUACAAUUGGUUGAAAUUGUUUGUUUCUUAAAUACUAUGAAUUCUUAACUUUGUAAUUUUUUAUAUACAACUCAAGUGGAAAAAAAAAGACUGUCUUUGGACAUUUAAGAACUCAUUCUAGAUUGUCUGGGAAAGACCUCUUAAGGUGAUACCAUGCUAGAUUUAUAUCCUAGGCAGAUUACAGGCCUUACACAAGAAUAAUUGGCCACAUAAUCUCAUUCUUUACAUCAUCAAAAAUAGUAAUGGCUUGAGAUAAUAAUUUGGUAUUUUUAAAGAAUGUGCAUAUCAAAUUGUAAAGACUGUUCUCAGUGUCCUCAGUUUCUACCUGUUCCACAUAAUGGUGUUAACUCUUGAGGUCUUAUAUUUAAUCAGUUAUUGCCAAUGACCACUCAUAUUUCUGAUUUAAAAAAAUAAAAUAUGUACAUGUGACUAUUGAUACCUUUUCAGGCUUUCUAGUCGCAACUGCUCUAACAAGAGAAGCAACUAAACGUGUAAUUAGUCAUUGCCUACAUAUAUAUAUAUAUAUAUAUAUAUAUAUAUAUAUAUAUAUAUAUUUGGUGUUCCAAAUCAGAUUACAACAGAUAUUGCAACUGGCUAUUACAGCCAAGUUUUUGAGAUGUUUUGUUGACAAUUUAAUGCUACCCAUGUUACUGAGAUUUUUUUUUUUUAUAUUUCUCAAGGACAAGGUAUAGUGCAACUUUAAAACUAUAUCUUCUGAAAAAACAAUAAAGGGGAAAUUAUAUCCCUGUGUACAUUAUUUAUAUCACACUUUUUAUUUUUAAAAUUUUAAAAAUUGGAUGCCAAAGAACUCCUUGCUGAAUGUCUUAUAGCAUCUUAAAACUAGGCAUACUCAUGCCUGGGUGAGAUGGAAGGAUCCACUUAUUGGCAUAUAUCAUGAGCCUGAUCAGAUAUUUAAUAUGGGGAAGAGGGCAUGUUUGUGUUUUUUCCACAGAAUGCUGCAGGAGCAUGCCAGCUGCCAGAAUGAUUUGUGUGACAGGCUGACCUGUGAGCUUGCUGAGUGCUCUGACAAUGGUGACAAGAAAGCUAUAUUGGGUAUAUGUUCUUGACCCACCUUUGCUUGCCUUUGUCCUAGAUUAGACAAGCUAAGCUGCCUUGCUUCAAGCUUUUUAACCUUGUGGGACAGAGAACAUAAGAGACUGUGGAAACUGAUUUAGAAGAAUUAAUCAAAAGGAGGAUUUAUAAUGACUCUUCUAUUUCCUUUAAUGUGACCAGUUAUUCUGACUCAAUCAUGGACUGGUCUAGUAAUAAAUCCAAUAGUAGAGAUUCCUGUUAUGAAGAUAGCUAAAAAUAUUUAUUAGUUAGCAGAGUUAGCUUGAAGCAUAGCCUAUUUAUAUGAGAAAUAACAGCUUUUCUGUUGAUUCUCUAAGUCACCUCUCCCACACAGGGAGGUCAGAGCUUGGGCUUGAUCGUUGCUAAUUUGCAACUGAAUAGAGUACCUAGACUUCCCCACAGACAACUUUAAUCUUGUUGCUUUUCAACUUUUGGCUUUGUGUUUCAAGAAGGUCAGUUACCUCUGUGCAGGCUUGCUUUCAUCAAGCACAGAUGGCAGAAAUUCAUCGAUAUGAAGAGAUGGAUUGAGUGCACAUAGUGGCUUUGGUCUGAUUGGGAAAAUGGUGUGUAAUGAGGGCUGGCAGCCAAGGCCAGGCCAUUGGGUUUAUGGCUUAUUUUCAAUCUAAGACAGAGGCAUGCACCAAGAGGCUGUGGUUUGUUCAUAAUAACACCAUAGAGCAGUGUUUGUGCAAAUAAACCGAAACAAACUGCACAUGUUCUCCAUGACGGAUAAGAAUAAGUCAAAUGAGACUGCAGUCCUAAGACAGGCGCAGCCACCAGCCACCAUAAUUUCCAGGCAGAACCAUGGAGCAUUUGUAAGUUUUAUGCCCCAGUCUAGCUAAUUUUUAUUAAAUAAUUAGGGAGGAAUUGUAGCCUCUCCAGCCUUGAGCAGGCUGUCUCAAACCUGUUCUGCCACUGUCACCACCUAGGGUGGAGUCUUCUAACCUAGAGAGGUCUACUCUGCCACCUCUGCAGUUUUCUCCAAGACACCACUACCUGCUAAGAGGCUGAACCUGCUUCCUGAGGAGAUCCUGAAGAAGCAACAUCCUGGCACAGAGUGAUGAGAGCUUGGAGACAAAGCAACAGGAGCAUGACAUUGUUGGGGAUGGGCCUUCCCCUUUAUAAGCUCAGACCUUUAAGUAAACUUUGGGCUUUGA